AGAGUUUGAUCCUGGCUCAGGACGAACGCUGGCGGCGUGCCUAAUACAUGCAAGUAGAACGCUGAAGAGAGGAGCUUGCUCUUCUUGGAUGAGUUGCGAACGGGUGAGUAACGCGUAGGUAACCUGCCUUGUAGCGGGGGAUAACUAUUGGAAACGAUAGCUAAUACCGCAUAACAAUGGAUGACACAUGUCAUUUAUUUGAAAGGGGCAAUUGUUCCACUACAAGAUGGACCUGCGUUGUAUUAGCUAGUAGGUGAGGUAAUGGCUCACCUAGGCGACGAUACAUAGCCGACCUGAGAGGGUGAUCGGCCACACUGGGACUGAGACACGGCCCAGACUCCUACGGGAGGCAGCAGUAGGGAAUCUUCGGCAAUGGGGGCAACCCUGACCGAGCAACGCCGCGUGAGUGAAGAAGGUUUUCGGAUCGUAAAGCUCUGUUGUAAGUCAAGAACGGGUGUGAGAGUGGAAAGUUCACACUGUGACGGUAGCUUACCAGAAAGGGACGGCUAACUACGUGCCAGCAGCCGCGGUAAUACGUAGGUCCCGAGCGUUGUCCGGAUUUAUUGGGCGUAAAGCGAGCGCAGGCGGUUUGAUAAGUCUGAAGUUAAAGGCUGUGGCUCAACCAUAGUUCGCUUUGGAAACUGUCAAACUUGAGUGCAGAAGGGGAGAGUGGAAUUCCAUGUGUAGCGGUGAAAUGCGUAGAUAUAUGGAGGAACACCGGUGGCGAAAGCGGCUCUCUGGUCUGUAACUGACGCUGAGGCUCGAAAGCGUGGGGAGCGAACAGGAUUAGAUACCCUGGUAGUCCACGUCGUAAACGAUGAGUGCUAGGUGUUGGAUCCUUUCCGGGAUUCAGUGCCGCAGCUAACGCAUUAAGCACUCCGCCUGGGGAGUACGACCGCAAGGUUGAAACUCAAAGGAAUUGACGGGGGCCCGCACAAGCGGUGGAGCAUGUGGUUUAAUUCGAAGCAACGCGAAGAACCUUACCAGGUCUUGACAUCCCGAUGCUAUUUCUAGAGAUAGAAAGUUACUUCGGUACAUCGGUGACAGGUGGUGCAUGGUUGUCGUCAGCUCGUGUCGUGAGAUGUUGGGUUAAGUCCCGCAACGAGCGCAACCCCUAUUGUUAGUUGCCAUCAUUCAGUUGGGCACUCUAGCGAGACUGCCGGUAAUAAACCGGAGGAAGGUGGGGAUGACGUCAAAUCAUCAUGCCCCUUAUGACCUGGGCUACACACGUGCUACAAUGGUUGGUACAACGAGUUGCGAGUCGGUGACGGCGAGCUAAUCUCUUAAAGCCAAUCUCAGUUCGGAUUGUAGGCUGCAACUCGCCUACAUGAAGUCGGAAUCGCUAGUAAUCGCGGAUCAGCACGCCGCGGUGAAUACGUUCCCGGGCCUUGUACACACCGCCCGUCACACCACGAGAGUUUGUAACACCCGAAGUCGGUGAGGUAACCUUUUGGAGCCAGCCGCCUAAGGUGGGACAGAUGAUUGGGGUGAAGUCGUAACAAGGUA
rnacentral:rRNA from 1 species